GGCCGGAGCCAGGCAGGAGGACGGCUGGCGCGGGGAUGCUCGGGGACGCCGCUAGCCCCGGCUCCAUCCCUGAGCGUGCAGAGGCUGCUCUCGGCGAUGCGUCCAGCGUGUCCUCUCCGGCCCGCCCCCCCCCCGGGUCCCCAGCAUUGCCCGCCCCACCCCCCUCCCCGGCUCCCACCCCAUCCCCGCGCAUCCCUCCCUCGGGCCGCGCUGCGGGAGCCCGCUGAGGGGGACUCAUCGCCCGCCACCAAUCACGAGGGAGCAGAGCCUCGGCUUCCCCAAUAGCCGAAGAGCGGGGCGCGCUGGCUUAACCCCCCCCCCGCCCUGGGGCGUUUAGGGAUCCUGGCUGCCGCUCUGCUUCCUCCCCUGUCUCGGCGCCUCCGAUCCGGCCCCCGUGAGAGACCCGAGCCCCGGGCCGGGAGGGGCUCCCCGGGGGUGCCUGCUUCUCUAUGGGAGGGGCUCCUCGAGCUCGGGUCCUCGGUUUGAUUUCAGCCCCUUCCCCCGGGGGUGAUUCAGCGGGUGGCUUUGGCGAUUCCUGUCGCCCUCCCUAGGAAGUGCCCGCUAAUGAAUGAGAAGGCAACGGCCGCAGCCGCCCUAAGUGAUGAGUGCAGUGAGCUAGGUACCCUGCACGUGCACGUUUCAAAAAUUCAACUAUGAUCAUCCUCACCGGGUCUGUUCUCCCCUAAAAGACUCAGACCCUGUGGCUGCACUCCAGCCUCCCUGAGUAAAUGAGCGGCCUCCCUGUCUGAUGAUUGAUCUUAAACAAGAUCUUCAACCGGAUAGAGGCAGUCAGGAUCAGCUGGGGCCUGGAUACGCAGAAACCAGCUGAGACAGGGCAGAUUGCUUCUUCCUUAUUCCACAACCAAUGCUAAGCAUGUUAGAGGCUGAUCCCUCACCCUGCUCCCAACCCCUCCCCGUUUCUCCUACAUUCAUCAAUAUCAAACAUUCCUCUUGCGGCCGAUCAGGCUUCACUUUAAACAUCCAACAAGUAUGUGCAGUUCGGAGCAUUUUGUUUUGCCGGGUAACUGUCAUUAUUAUAAGAGAAUAAAUGUUUUAAUAUAAAAGGAGAAAGUAGAAUUUAUUAGACAGGCCCCUCUGGGGCUCAGUAUGUGACAUCUGGCUGUGGAAUUCUCCAAGAGGAGGGUCCCUUUAUCUGAAGACAAAAGAGUCCCAGGACCCAGAAUGCUGGAGCAGCAGGGGUCUCUGUCAGACCUUCGGAGACUGGAACAGAAAAGGCCCAGAAUCAAGAGAGCCACGGGAGGCCGAGAACACAAUGUGAGUCUCUCGGCAGCCACUCUAAUCACAUUACCCACCGGUUUAGAGCACACAGCUUAGCAUAUUGGCUUCCAUAUUCAGGAGCAAAUCUGCUUUCCCUACCCCCACCCUCUUUUUCUCUCCUCCCAUGUAUACCCCCACCCCCUCCUCACACCAAUAAAGCAGCCAAUGAGAGUUCAGCACUGUAGCCAUGCUGUGAGGGUUAAGAGGAAAGGCUUCAAGAGAAUUUUCAUUAAGUCAACUCUGCUUCAGGGAAUAGCUAAUAGAAUAAAGAGAAGCUCCAAUCCUAUCCCCUUCAGAUGAGAUAACUUAUCACAGGUUUAAAAAGGUCCCACUGGGAAUUGCGUAGGAUUUUGCAGGACAGGAUUUUUCCCCCUUCUUAAAAAAAAAAAAAUCAGCCUUUCAGACAAUUUGUAAAAUGCAACAACAGCAACAGCAGCAACCACCAUCAUUACACAUCUCCCUCUUUGGUCUCUCACUAGCUGGUAGGAGAGUUGUGGGUCUGGGUGGCUGCAGCUGCCAUCCAGGGCGGGGAACUGCGCAGAGCUGGGCAAUAUCAUUUGGUGGAUGUAUGAUUUCAUCCUGCAGUGGUCGUUUAAAAUUCUGCACCUGGCACAUCAUUCUGGCCCCAUUCUGCAAUACAUCUGUGUACUAGAUCUAGAGGCAGAUCACGGAAACAAGCUGCCGAGUCCAGUGGCCAGGGCCCUGGGUCCUCUAAGAACCUGAUUGUGGAGAAAUAAAACAGUGGAUGGAAGCAGCUCUGCAGAG